UUUUUUAAAUUGUGAAAAAAAAAAAAGACUCUCCUUUUGUCUGUCUGUCGUUCUCCCAGGGAGAGGCGGACAGAGCAGCAGUUAUGCUGUGGGAAGCUUGGCCCAGGUAUGAAAAAUCAUCAGUAUCAUACCUAGAAACUAAUCAUUUAAAACCCUAGAUAUGAAAGUAGAUCAUAAAAUGACUAGGAAGAUGCAGUUAGGGUUAUCCCUUUUAUUUCUUUAUGGCUUAUGGAUUCCUCUGUGCUAACCCCAGAUGCUUUUGUUUUGCUUGUAACCUUUAAGAUGUCCCUCAAGAAAGCUCUUCUUGGUGCUUAAUUCUUGUAAUUGCUCUUUUAAAAUCUAGCAAUAGCCUGAGUUCCCAGAUGUAUUUUCCUUUUCCUUUUUU